UACGUAGGGCGCAAGCGUUGUCCGGAAUUAUUGGGCGUAAAGAGCUCGUAGGCGGUUUGUCGCGUCUGCUGUGAAAACCUAAGGCUCAACCUUGGGCUUGCAGUGGGUACGGGCAGACUAGAGUGCGGUAGGGGUGACUGGAAUUCCUGGUGUAGCGGUGGAAUGCGCAGAUAUCAGGAGGAACACCGAAGUGGCGAAGGCAGGUCACUUGGGCCGCAACUGACGC
rnacentral:rRNA from 1 species